GUCGAGUGCGCGUGCCGUAGCAAUACGGUAUGGCGCACGGCGCACGGGUGCGUAACACGUGGGCAAUCUGCCCUCCGGUGGGGAAUAACCCCGCGAAAGCGGGGCUAAUUCCGCAUAACAUUCCCUGGACUCUGGUUCGGGGAUUCAAAGCAGCAAUGCGCCGGAGGAGGAGCCCGCGCCCGAUUAGCUAGUUGGUGAGGUGACGGCUCACCAAGGCAAUGAUCGGUAGCUGGUCUGAGAGGAUGGCCAGCCACACUGGAACUGAGACACGGUCCAGACUCCUACGGGAGGCAGCAGUGGGGAAUCUUGCGCAAUGGGCGAAAGCCUGACGCAGCGACGCCGCGUGGGGGAUGAAGCUUCUCGGAGUGUAAACCCCUUUCGACCGGGACGAAUGCCCGCAAGGGAGUGACGGUACCGGUAGAAGAAGCCCCGGCUAACUACGUGCCAGCAGCCGCGGUAAGACGUAGGGGGCCAGCGUUGUUCGGAAUUACUGGGUGUAAAGGGUUCGUAGGCGGUGUGGCAAGUCGGGAGUGAAAUUUCUGGGCUUAACCCAGAAGCUGCUUCCGAAACUGCUGUGCUAGAGUGCGGGAGAGGCGCGUGGAAUUGCAGGUGUAGCGGUGAAAUGCGUAGAUAUCUGCAGGAACACCCGUGGCGAAAGCGGCGCGCUGGACCGUUACUGACGCUGAGGAACGAAAGCUAGGGGAGCAAACA
rnacentral:rRNA from 1 species